rnacentral:lncRNA from 1 species
UUGGUCGAGCCGUCGUAGCUCCAGUUGGUCCAACCACUAGGGACAACGGUCUUGGACAAGUAAGUCUUGGCAAAGAUGACUCGAGAAUAAGGUCCCUUGGCACGGCCUAAGUAGACUUCAUCGAUUCCGUACACUUUGCCUCUUAUGAACACAUAACCUGUGUGUUCCUCUGCGUUUUCCCUGUGGUGUGCUGUGAUUGACCCAUACGGUUUCACCCUCUUGUCCGAUAUCACAAAUAUCUCACAAUUCUGUAACAAUUUUAUAAAAGGUAAAAGAAAGUGAGAUAAUAUAUUGGUGGUCAAUAUAUAUGUUAUGUUUUAGAGAAUGUGAAAAACGCACGUUGAAAAUGGAAGUUGCACGACCGAAGAUGAAGUCGAUGGAGCCUUGGAUGUAACACUCAUGGUAGUAAUGUCUACCUUUGUUAUCAAACAAAGUGUUGUGCAAGCUGUAGAACGCACAAUGGUAAAACGCAACUUUAUCAGCCGCCACAAACGCUGCCACCGAUUGAUUGUCAGACGUGAACGCCAGUCCGACCGGUGCAUCAUUCUGUAUAUUCAUCACACAGAUUCAUUAAGACACAAAUGUCAUGUACGUAAUCAAAAUCUACAAUUGUGUUAAUACAUACCCUGAUGCUGAUACCAAAAGCAACGAAGUGAUUAGCUUCGACUUUGAAAGUGGCUGAAGCAACAUUAUCGACAGCACUUUGCGAUGAUUCAAUGACUGUCUUUCCUCUUCCGUUACCUCUCAUGAAUAUGAACGGCUUGUUCUCCGGAAUGUGCACUCUCUCCCUAUUUCCUCAAAAAAUAAUUAUCAAAAUUCAAAAUAAAUGUAUAUAUGUGACAAUAGUAAUGCAUAUAAUAUUACUAUAAAUAUAUGUAUGUUAUGUAACAUGAUUUGCGCGUAUGAAGUAAUGUAAAAGGUUAAGCGUAAGUAAACGUACUUGUAGAUUCCUUUACGGACAUGGACGAUAAUCCAAUUAGAGUUAUCAACAGGAACAGCAUCAAUGGCUUUUUGCACCGAAGUGUAGUCUCCUUUGCCUUCAAUAUCGACGAUGAUCGAUCUAUUUGUUGCUAUUUUUUCAGUCAGAAGCGGCGCGUCGAACUUCGUCUUUUGCAUUGCGGAUGCGUCCGAACCCCAUACGGACAUUGCAACCAGAGCUAGGACAAGGAUCAUUCUUGCUCGAUGAUCCAUUUUAUCUUUUGGGGUUUCUAGUUUUCUUUUUGGAAUGGGGAUAUGAGGAAGAUGUUAUAUGGUGAAGGAAGAGGUUAAAUUUAAGAAAACAGAUUUUUAAAUUUAGGGUGUUUCGUUGUGUUUGUUUUGUUUUGAGAGGUAAGGGCUUAAACAGGUUUUCUAGGCAACGUUUAUUUUUAGAUAUCUAUUAUUGAUUAAUGGGUGAAAAAUACUUCGAGAUAUAUAUAUAUUUCUAUCUUUGGUAACAAAGAAAUCAUUGUGGUAUAAAUCUUUCAUUGUCCUCAAAAAUAAAUUAAAAACACUACAUAUUACUUUUGACUAAUUUCUAUAUUUUUAUUUUCUUGUUAUUCAUAUAUUUUUACUAUGUUCUUCUCAUUAUAUUAUCAUAUCGUUUAUAAUCUAGGAUAUAUCCUCCUUCACAUAACAAUAUCAUUGAUUCAUCGUCAUAAAUUGAUAUUAUGAGUUAUGCAGAUGUGUAGACAUGCAUGCAAUGCUCUACACCAACAUUGUUUUAGCUAUACAGGUUGUCAACAAGUACUUCGCUCAAGGGCCAUGACAAACUCAAGAAAAACGGCCAAGUUCACCAAUUGAAAAAUAAAUAGUGUCUCCACAUCUAUAUGUCAUACAAAAAGAAUUGUAUCCGUCAAACUGAAUUAUUUUUUUCUCUCGGUAUAAGACUUUUAUCUCUAUAAAUGAAUUAAAAAGGAAGACUUCUACCGGAUAUUUUUGUAGGUAGUUUAGAACAUAUGAAAAAGCCAAUGAAAUGAUAAAUUUUAAUAGAAUUAAGCGGUCUCUUUCCAUAUAAUACAACGCGAAGCAUGGUUCAUGCCUUGUUGACCAUAAGUUACGAUUUAAAAUAUCAAUGUGGGUCAACAAGGAAUGGAGGCAUAAACUAGCCAGUGUUUAUCUAACAGGUAUAUGAAUCUUCUUUUGUUUUAGUAAGCAAAGGAGAUUGGCGAUUUUUCGGCGAUACGCGAACUAGGUUUCUCAACAUGACUUCGGCGCCGCCGCCAGACGCACCUUCUCCAUAUCAGCCAUUAAUAUUUUUUCUAUCUUUUUUUCUUUAAAAUGUGGCCAAUUUUUUUUUUUUUUUUGCAUCCAGCCACCGAAUUUCUAGGACCGGCUCUGGUGAUACUUGCUGCUAUACCACUCAGAACCUUAUAAAACUAGGUCUUCGAUCAUUUUACAUGUAAAUGUUUUGAGGUAUUAAAAAAAAAACAUGUAAAUGUUUUUGUAAUCUUUUUAUGAGUUGAUUUGAGCUGGUGGAGGAGCUGGCGGAGGAGCUGGGGGAGGAUUCGGUGGUGGUGCUGGUGGGGGUCACGGUGGAGGUGUUGGUGGAGGAUCAGGCGGAGGAUUUGGUGCUGGUGGUGGUGCCGGCGGAGGAGCUGGUGGAGGAUUCGGUGGUGGUGGUGGUGCCGGUGGAGGGUUUGGCGGUGGAUUUUAAAAUUUUAGUAAUUCAGUAUUCAUACAAAAUCUAUUCUUGGCUUGUACUAAGCUAGGGCUACUAGUUACUUAUGUACCAAGUCAUAUGAGAAGAAUGAUAUUUUUUUCUGAUUUACUUUGUAACGAUAACGAAAUUUUAAAUAUUUGAAACAUCUUCCAGUAUUCACAAUAUUUUUUCGUUGGCUAGUUAAUCUAAUUAAUCAGUCGGGAAAUUAUUUUAAAUUAUGAGAUAUGAUUAUAGUUUAGGUUACAUAUAUUAUAAAAAUGGAAAUUUAUCUUAUAUAAUGCGUGCAAACGACAUAAGAAUUUCCAAUCAGUCUACAAUCAUUUUAGAGUAGAACAAAAAGAGAGAAAACUAUUUCGUAUAGUGAAGAAAAGAUUGGGUUCUUCUUUCUUCAUAUGUUUUCUUCCAAGCCAAACGGGAGACACGCAUAAGAAGCUCUAAGAGUUUUGAUGAAGCCAAACAGGGAGCCAAGAAGUUCCAUCAAUAAAAUCAAUAGACAAGAAAGACUCAACUUCUUGUUUGGUCAGUUCUUUAGCCCAGUCUGAUCUACCUUGUCGCUCAGCACCUGGUCCAUGACACUUAUACUCCGCAUGGUAUAUAUCCCUGAUCAAAAGUCUCAACAGUAUUAGUAUAAACAUGAACAGUAAUAAGAUAUAAAUAAUAAUUAGAGACUAACUUGGUCGAGCCAUCGUAGCUCCAGUUGGUCCAACCGCUAGGGACAACGGUCUUGGACAAGUAAGUCUUGGCAAAGAUGACUCGAGAAUAAGGUCCCUUGGCACGGCCUAAGUAGACUUCAUCGAUUCCGUACACUUUGCCUCUUAUGAACACAUAACCUGUGUGUUCCUCUGCGUUUUCCCUGUGGUGUGCUGUGAUUGACCCAUACGGUUUCACCCUCUUGUCCGAUAUCACAAAUAUC